rnacentral:rRNA from 1 species
CGAGUUAUCUGAACCUUCGGGGAACGAUAACGGCGUCGAGCGGCGGACGGGUGAGUAAUGCCUAGGAAAUUGCCCUGAUGUGGGGGAUAACCAUUGGAAACGAUGGCUAAUACCGCAUGAUGCCUACGGGCCAAAGAGGGGGACCUUCGGGCCUCUCGCGUCAGGAUAUGCCUAGGUGGGAUUAGCUAGUUGGUGAGGUAAGGGCUCACCAAGGCGACGAUCCCUAGCUGGUCUGAGAGGAUGAUCAGCCACACUGGAACUGAAACACGGUCCAAACUCCUACGGGAGGCAGCAGUGGGGAAUAUUGCACAAUGGGCGCAAGCCUGAUGCAGCCAUGCCGCGUGUGUGAAGAAGGCCUUCGGGUUGUAAAGCACUUUCAGUCGUGAGGAAGGUAGUGUAGUUAAUAGCUGCAUUAUUUGACGUUAGCGACAGAAGAAGCACCGGCUAACUCCGUGCCAGCAGCCGCGGUAAUACGGAGGGUGCGAGCGUUAAUCGGAAUUACUGGGCGUAAAGCGCAUGCAGGUGGUUUGUUAAGUCAGAUGUGAAAGCCCGGGGCUCAACCUCGGAAUUGCAUUUGAAACUGGCAGACUAGAGUACUGUAGAGGGGGGUAGAAUUUCAGGUGUAGCGGUGAAAUGCGUAGAGAUCUGAAGGAAUACCGGUGGCGAAGGCGGCCCCCUGGACAGAUACUGACACUCAGAUGCGAAAGCGUGGGGAGCAAACAGGAUUAGAUACCCUGGUAGUCCACGCCGUAAACGAUGUCUACUUGGAGGUUGUGGCCUUGAGCCGUGGCUUUCGGAGCUAACGCGUUAAGUAGACCGCCUGGGGAGUACGGUCGCAAGAUUAAAACUCAAAUGAAUUGACGGGGGCCCGCACAAGCGGUGGAGCAUGUGGUUUAAUUCGAUGCAACGCGAAGAACCUUACCUACUCUUGACAUCCAGAGAACUUUCCAGAGAUGGAUUGGUGCCUUCGGGAACUCUGAGACAGGUGCUGCAUGGCUGUCGUCAGCUCGUGUUGUGAAAUGUUGGGUUAAGUCCCGCAACGAGCGCAACCCUUAUCCUUGUUUGCCAGCGAGUAAUGUCGGGAACUCCAGGGAGACUGCCGGUGAUAAACCGGAGGAAGGUGGGGACGACGUCAAGUCAUCAUGGCCCUUACGAGUAGGGCUACACACGUGCUACAAUGGCGCAUACAGAGGGCGGCCAACUUGCGAAAGUGAGCGAAUCCCAAAAAGUGCGUCGUAGUCCGGAUUGGAGUCUGCAACUCGACUCCAUGAAGUCGGAAUCGCUAGUAAUCGUGGAUCAGAAUGCCACGGUGAAUACGUUCCCGGGCCUUGUACACACCGCCCGUCACACCAUGGGAGUGGGCUGCAAAAGAAGUAGGUAG